UUCCAGAUUGGGCCUUUUUUAAUGGGCCUGCAGAAAAACAAUACGUGUAGGACACAGGAGCACGGGCUCCUCAAUGCGUACGGUAGCGCCGCCGCCGCCGCGCGCCCGUUCCUCUCUGGCGGCGCCGCCGCCCUGCUCUCGUUCCCCUCCCUAUGCAUCUCAAUCUUCUCCCGCACCACCACGAUCUUCAACCUCCUGCUGCCGUAUGUCUCCGAUUUGGAUCGGAGUCCGUGUUCCCCCAGGAUAAGUGCUGCAACACGAAUCCAUGGCGUGCCCGACCCAGAUUUCAGAGGGACUUGGCUGCCAUUAGAAGGAGCCCUCGACCGGAAUCUCCAUUAAAUCGCUUCAUAUCGCAACUUUUGAAGAGUCGUCCAGGAUCGUCUCAGCCGAGUUCGCCGGAAGAAAAUCCGCCGCCCAAGCGUACUACAUCUGAGCCGGAAGAACAUCCCCUGCCGAACAUGCUACCCCAGAGAUCACAUCUUCCUUUGCUAGAACACGUGAGCUGAUUCCGACUUUGGCCUCAAGUUGCUCCCGUCAAUGACAAGUGGGAGGAGUGGGAGUGCUGUGUUCAUGAAAUUGAGUAUCUCAGAAGAAUUUGGUUUGGCACUUAUUUUCCUCAACCUGUUAUUCUUCAAAUGUGCUUCCCAUGGAUUUGAUAAAUUUGGUGAGAUAAUGUUAUGUGUCAGGUAUGGCCAUAAGAUACUCAUGAAACUUAUUUUAUUUUGCCUCACACAAGAUGUAUGUUGUUUAGACUCAUGUACUGCCAGUACUGGUAGAUCGAUGAUCUAAGGAUCAUAUGAAUGAUUAAUGGAGGAUAAUUCAUAUUCAGUUCUCCUCUCAAUUUUUGUGGUGCCAAGCUUGAUCUUUAUCCAUCUAACUGACUGAAAGUGCCUUCUAAUCACUAUUGAACGCAUAUGUUAGUUAGUUUGACUGUAUACACCACACAAAAAGUAAAAAAUGAAUUCUAGAAAAAAUUAGACACAAAUACUACAGAACCAGUGGACCCUCGAGAAACAAAAGGCACACCUAAAGGAUUUUUUUCUUAACAAAAUGUAUUAAUUUGACUAUUUGAGUAUAAAAAAUGUGCAAUCGCAAUCUUGCUUUUUCAAGGAAAACAGGGGACUGCUACAUACUCGAUAUGGAUCGAGGCUAAUUAUUGAUCUUCCAAGUUAAAAAAUCUGAAAAUAACUUUCAUUUAGUAAUGGAUACAUAGUCAAGAAAGGAUGCCUUUCCCGAAAGAUACAAAACAAAAUCGUGUUCGUGUAUGUCCGGCUGACAGAUGAAUCGAUCUCCUUUCAAGUAUCAACCCAGCAACCUUCGUGUACGUACAUGUGUGCAUCAAGGAUGCACGGGUCCAUUGGCCUGCGUACCACACAUCCCUUCACUAAUUCCAUCAGUAUCAUUCUUAACAAGGUAAGUAUGAUUCCCUAAUCCCUGAUUUUAUUAAUUGAUCUUUGAUGCUUCAUCCCUAAUGUCGUUAUACCUUAUUGAUUCUAUAAAAGAUCUCAAACAGGAACAUACCAUUUUUGAGGCUACGAUUCCUAUAACUUGCCUUGUCAAUUUGAUAAAAUUACAUGUGUAAUGGAGGUUGUAACUUAUUACGGUUUACAUUGUCAGAAUGAUAUCUGUGUCAUCUCUGAACAUAUGUAUAUAUUUGGUGUGCCGGAUUUUCUGAUGUAGAUGCUAUAUAAGAGGAAGCUAUUCGACAAUCCUGCUCAAGUUGGUACGGAUCAGAUCGAUUUUAUUCAGUAAAUAUUUAUGCUUGAUAGAUACAAGCCUCCCUCUUCUGUCCUUCUUUUCUCCAUCCUCUACAGGUCGCCAGCACAUGUGAAUCGUUCUCGUCAAGAGCAUGCUUGUGACAUCAUUACUAUAUGUGAUGCAGGGCAAAAGGAUGCUGUCAGAAUGUAAAAGCACAUUUAACCAUUUCCUGUUUUUUUCCUUGCCUGUUUUCGCCGUCGUAUACACUGCAUCUCCCACUGCGGCCAAGCAGCUCGUGGCAUCUGUGUCACGCCUGCUCUGCCGCUGCCUUGACCCGCCGACGACGUCGCCGGUUGAGCCGCAAGGGUGCAAGAUCAUCGUGGGGCCCAUUGCAUGGGCUCCGAGUAUGCUUGAUUGCCAUGUCGGAGGCGAAGGUGCUAGAGCUUGGUGGCGUGUUUGCAUUUCUGGAUGCAUGAAUAAUUGUCAAGGAGGCCGAAGCCAGCGCUAUUACAGUUGGACUGAAGGAAUUGUAUAACGUAUUCUGAGGCUCCUUGGUGGUGGAGAUCGACUACGCAGUGGGGAAAUGAGCUAGGGGCUGAUUCUGUAAGCAGAUCAUUGUCCUACCCAAUUAU